rnacentral:rRNA from 1 species
GCACAAUGGGGGAAACCCUGAUGCAGCGACGCCGCGUGGAGGAAGAAGGUCUUCGGAUUGUAAACUCCUGUUGUUGAGGAAGAUAAUGACGGUACUCAACAAGGAAGUGACGGCUAACUACGUGCCAGCAGCCGCGGUAAAACGUAGGUCACAAGCGUUGUCCGGAAUUACUGGGUGUAAAGGGAGCGCAGGCGGGAAGACAAGUUGGAAGUGAAAUCUAUGGGCUCAACCCAUAAACUGCUUUCAAAACUGUUUUUCUUGAGUAGUGCAGAGGUAGGCGGAAUUCCCGGUGUAGCGGUGGAAUGCGUAGAUAUCGGGAGGAACACCAGUGGCGAAGGCGGCCUACUGGGCACCAACUGACGCUGAGGCUCGAAAGUGUGGGUAGCAAACAGGAUUAGAUACCCUGGUAGUCCACACCGUAAACGAUGAUUACUAGGUGUUGGAGGAUUGACCCCUUCAGUGCCGCAGUUAACACAAUAAGUAAUCCACCUGGGGAGUACGACCGCAAGGUUGAAACUCAAAGGAAUUGACGGGGGCCCGCACAAGCAGUGGAGUAUGUGGUUUAAUUCGACGCAACGCGAAGAACCUUACCAAGUCUUGACAUCCUGCGACGGACAUAGAAAUAUGUGUUUCCUUCGGGACGCAGAGACAGGUGGUGCAUGGUUGUCGUCAGCUCGUGUCGUGAGAUGUUGGGUUAAGUCCCGCAACGAGCGCAACCCUUACU